rnacentral:snoRNA from 1 species
AGCUUCAUUUUAGAUGCAAAUGGGAACUGUUGUGCAUGGUGUCCAGAUUAUUACUGAUGUGGCCACACUGAGACAUAGGUUUUGUUUCCAUCACCGUAAGUUUAUUGCAGUGGUGACAAGGAGACCUGUAACAUGU